CAGUUGUGGAAAUUGAACCUUGGAAUAACGUGCUGGUGGAGUUGAGCUUUCCGUUGCUGCCCAACAUAAAUAUGGAUUUGAAGCAGCCAUCUGAUAAAGGGUGUUCCUCUUGCUACCUGUACUGUUGUGUGUUUCAUCACACGAAGAAACACUUAGCUACAAUUGAAGUUUAGCGUUUAUGUUCGCGUAGUUGCUGUCCGAUGUGGCACGUUGUUGCAGCCUAUGCUGG